rnacentral:rRNA from 1 species
CCUACGGGGGGCAGCAGUGGGGAAUAUUGGACAAUGGGGGGAACCCUGAUCCAGCCAUGCCGCGUGUGUGAAGAAGGCCCUCGGGUUGUAAAGCACUUUCAGUGAGGAAGAACGCCUGGUGGUUAAUACCCAUCAGGAAAGACAUCACUCACAGAAGAAGCACCGGCUAACUCCGUGCCAGCAGCCGCGGUAAUACGGAGGGUGCGAGCGUUAAUCGGAAUUACUGGGCGUAAAGCGCGCGUAGGUGGCUUGAUAAGCCGGUUGUGAAAGCCCCGGGCUCAACCUGGGAACGGCAUCCGGAACUGUCAAGCUAGAGUGCAGGAGAGGAAGGUAGAAUUCCCGGUGUAGCGGUGAAAUGCGUAGAGAUCGGGAGGAAUACCAGUGGCGAAGGCGGCCUUCUGGACUGACACUGACACUGAGGUGCGAAAGCGUGGGUAGCAAACAGGAUUAGAUACCCGUGUAGU